AGCUCGUAGUUGAAUUUCGGGAUUGGCGCAUCGGUCGUGCCUCACGGGGUAUGAACUGGUGCAGUCAAUUUCUCACCUUCUGGAGAACCGCGAUGUCCUUAAUUGGAUGCCGUGGGGAACCAGGACCUUUACUUUGAAAAAAUUAGAGUGUUUAAAGCAGGCAUUUUUGCUUGAAUACAUUAGCAUGGAAUAAUAAAAUAGGACGGCAUGGUUCUAUUUUGUUGGUUUCUAGGACCACCGUAAUGAUUAAUAGGGAUAGUUGGGGGCAUUAGUAUUCAAUUGUCAGAGGUGAAAUUCUUGGAUUUAUUGAAGACUAACUACUGCGAAAGCAUUUGCCAAGGAUGUUUUCAUUAAUCAAGAACGAAAGUUAGGGGAUCGAAGACGAUCAGAUACCGUCGUAGUCUUAACCAUAAACUAUGCCGACUAGGAAUCAGACGAUGUUAAUUUUUUAAUGACUCGUUCGGCACCU
rnacentral:rRNA from 1 species